GCUUAACACAUGCAAGUCGAGGGGCAGCAUGGUCUUAGCUUGCUAAGGCCGAUGGCGACCGGCGCACGGGUGAGUAACACGUAUCCAACCUGCCGUCUACUCUUGGACAGCCUUCUGAAAGGAAGAUUAAUACAAGAUGGCAUCAUGAGUCCGCAUGUUCACAUGAUUAAAGGUAUUCCGGUAGACGAUGGGGAUGCGUUCCAUUAGAUAGUAGGCGGGGUAACGGCCCACCUAGUCUUCGAUGGAUAGGGGUUCUGAGAGGAAGGUCCCCCACAUUGGAACUGAGACACGGUCCAAACUCCUACGGGAGGCAGCAGUGAGGAAUAUUGGUCAAUGGGCGAGAGCCUGAACCAGCCAAGUAGCGUGAAGGAUGACUGCCCUAUGGGUUGUAAACUUCUUUUAUAAAGGAAUAAAGUCGGGUAUGCAUACCCGUUUGCAUGUACUUUAUGAAUAAGGAUCGGCUAACUCCGUGCCAGCAGCCGCGGUAAUACCGGAGGAUCCGAGCGUUAUCCGGAUUUAUUGGGUUUAAAGGGAGCGUAGAUGGAUGUUUAAGUCAGUUGUGAAAGUUUGCGGCUCAACCGUAAAAUUGCAGUUGAUACUGGAUAUCUUGAAUG
rnacentral:rRNA from 1 species